CCUACUUCUUUGGAAUUCUGGCAUAUACUGAACACCAGCUAAGACAUCCAGCCUUAUGAACUGAACAGCAAAUGGAUUCUUGGAACUUCCAUUGGUAGACAGCCAUUGAUGGACUAGAUGAAUCACUGAUUGAAACCAAGAAUAUGAAGUUCUUAACUGAGCAUUGAUCAUAAGUUGAGGAAACAGAAUAACUGGUUUCAGAAAGUACCAGACAAAUGGAGCAGAGGACAUAAACACCAGCAUUCACCAACAAAGUUGUUCAGUGUCUGCCACCAUUUAUUGUAACGAUGGACACAGCAAAUCAUCCUGAUAAAUCUCAAUUGGCCGUUCUCCUGUAGAAGAAGUGGAUCAAGAUAAUUCUCAUUUAACUAGAAAAUUUAAACUCUAGAUGUUAUAUUGGAUAAUCUGUGCAAAAAAAAUAUGAAAAGCUGAUUCGCCAUGGUUGAAGAGGAGGUACGAUCACAGUCAUGGAGAAGAGUUGGGGUAAUUUUUAUUUGGAAUAAGAAUAGUCCAUAGAGCAGAUUGCACUCCUGGAUGAGAAUGGAGCACAGGUGUAGAACUAGAGACAUCCACUAAGAAAAGCAGGCGGUUUGUAGAUGCAGAAUUGUGUUCAGCCAUGUUAACAACUCAUAAUGGUUCCCACAACACUUGUUUCAGACAUUUGACCUUGAAAAUUGCACGAUGACUAAUCAAUGUCAAAUUAAGUCAUUGACUCAGUGGUAAUUUAUUACAGAAGCAAUGGAAAAUGGAUAUAUCUAUACUAUGCAAAUAUUAGAAGUAAACAAGGACAAUGAGUUCUGUAA